GUGCUCACUUCAGCAGCACAUACACUACAAUCGGAACAAUGCAGAGAAGAUUAGCAUGUCCCCUAUGCAAGGACGACAUGCAAAUUCGUGAAGCAUUCCAUAAAAAA
rnacentral:snRNA from 1 species